CCUACGGGUGGCAGCAGUGAGGAAUAUUGGUCAAUGGACGAAAGUCUGAACCAGCCAAGCCGCGUGAAGGAAGACGGCUCUAUGAGUUGUAAACUGCUUUUGUAUGGGGGUAAACGCAGAUACGUGUAUGAGUUUGAAAGUAUCGUACGAAUAAGGAUCGGCUAACUCCGUGCCAGCAGCCGCGGUAAUACGGAGGAUUCGAGCGUUAUCCGGAUUUAUUGGGUUUAAAGGGUGCGUAGGCGGACGGUUAAGUUAGAGGUGAAAUCCCGAGGCUCAACUGCGAAAUUGCAUUUGAAACUGGUCGGCUAGAGUGUAGUAGCGGUAGGCGGAAUGUGUGGUGUAGCGGUGAAAUGCUUAGAGAUCAUGCAGAACUCCGAUUGCGAAGGCAGCUUACCGGGCUGCUACUGACGUUGAGGCACGAAAGCGUGGGGAGCAAACAGGAUUAGAUACCCCUGUAGUC
rnacentral:rRNA from 1 species